CAAAGUUAUUCGGGAGGGUUUUGUUUUGUUGUUAGCUGCUGGCUGUCGUAGCUUCUGGCUGCUGUUGUUGGCGACGCCUUUGGGCGUUGCGGCUGGCGAUGUUGUAGCUGCUGGCUGCUGUUGUUGUUGGCGCUGGUUGGCGAUGUUGUUUGCGCAAACUGGCGUUGUUGUUGGCGCUGGCGGCCGAUGUUGUUGGCGCUAACUGGCGUUGUUGUUGGCGCUGGCGGCCGAUGUUGUUGGCGCUACUUAUGAGGGGUCAAACGACAAUACAACAUUUCCAUUUAUAAGUAUUAGAAACCCUGAUCAGCGGGUGUGGCUUAGAAAACGUGCACAGUUAAAUGAGUUUGGGUUGAGUUAUAUAAGAAUUUGUUGUAAGUUGACUAAUUUGUAAACUGAUAAACCCAGAAAUUCUUAAUUCCACCAUUUUUGAAGUACCUACCCGACGCACAAUGGAUCCAAUGAGAUAUCUAGCGGAAUAAAAGUCGAUUUUUAACUUUUGAAAAAUACGUUGAGUUUCGAUUUUAUUUGAUUAAUUAUAUUCUGCAAAGCUCAAAAAAGCUUUUUAAUGAGCUUUUCAGUGCAUCCCUGAUCGGCUGCGAGCUUUGAAACUUAACCUAUUUGCGGCACGUGUCUACACAAAUAUUUGAGGUUAUUUGUGAUUCGUUUUAAAUUAUCAAAACAAGUGAUAUUUUUGAGUAUUUUGAUAGAAAAAUCUUUUGUUUCCCUUAAAAUAAGGUGGCUUGGCGAAAAUGUCGCAUCAAGAAGAUUGUUGGUGCUAAAUGAAUAUAUAUUUGGCACAAUUUUGAAGAAUAUAAACAUAUCUGACAACGAUAUCAAAGAAAUUAAUAAAAAAUUGGCUAAUUCAUGGUGCAGACAUCAUAAAGCAUGUGGGUCUUCCUAUUGGCAUGAUGUCUGAAGAAGCCCUGAAAGCCAGGAAUAAGGAUUUCCGGAAUAUAAGGGAGAAUCAUUCUCGAAAGAAUAAUAGAUCUAAUACAAUGGAAGAUGUUAUGCACGCAUUACUCCACUAAUAACAUCAUUGUCUAAAAUGUCAACAAAUUCGGUUAAAUCUAUUAAAUUUGAUAAAGUGGUUGCUGGUCUUCUAAUAAAUUUCCCACAUUUAAAUAAUGAUUCUGAAUCUUCAGAUUCCGAAUAAUAGUAGCGAAUAAUAUAUGGAAAAUAAACUCAUUAGUUAAAAUGUAAAUUAAAAAAUAAAACACUUAAAAAUUAAAAAAAAAAAGAGAA